UGGUUAUUUUUUAUUUGUAUUAUUUUCAAUAUUGUGCAUUAAUACAUUCAGGAAGACAUGUAAAGUAUGAAAGAACACAUAUGGAAUUAUGUAAGAAACAAAAACAUACAACAUAUGUACUGGGUUAUUUAAAAUUUAAAUUUUUGAUUGCUUUAAGUACAUUUUGCUUUGAUGACAGCUUUGCACACUGAUAUUUUCUCAGUCAGCCUCAUAAUGUAGUCAGCUGAAAUGAUUUUCCAACACUUUUGAGGAGUUCCCAGAGGUGUUGAGUGCUUGUUGGCUGCUUUUUCUUUAAAAUCCACUCCAAAUUAAAACAAAUCAUCUCAACUAGAUUUUGAGCAGGUUAUUGUGGAGGCCUUCCUCAGUCUUCCUCUUAAACAAAUAGCUCUUACAUAACCUAGACGGGGCAUUGUCCUGUUGGAAAACAAAUGAUGUUUCCAAUAAGUGCAAACCAGAUGGGAUGUUGUGUCGCUGCAACAUGCUGAGCUAGCCAUGUUGGUUAAGUGUCCCCUUAAUUUUGUCUGAAUCACCAACAGUGUCACCAGCAAAACAAACAAACAAACAAACAAACAAACAAACAAACAAACAAACAAACACAGUGUAUAAAAAGGCGCAAAGCUGAAAUAGAGAUGAACACUCGUUCCACUAGAGGGCAGUAGAGCUCUUCAGCCCAGCAGUCUCUCAAUGCAUGUUGAUGCAGUAUAUUUUUGCUCACACCGCUAGAUGGCGGAAUAAUACCGGUUUUCAUUGUGCUGUGCAGAAACCAUAUCGGUCUAAUAAUUAGCUUAUGUUAGCGCGAGACUUCUGUUUUAACAACACGCGCAUCAAGCAAAUUCACGCUUAAUCGAUUUUUACAGCACCUACUCCGCAAUGUUUUAGUCGCGAGACUCGGGAGAAAGACAGCUCGUAUGUGAGUCCGCCAUAAGGCUAUAAAAGCGGUGCUGCACUGACCCCGGGCCGCUGCUGCUGCUGCUGCAUCACGCUCACUGCAUUGUCACAGAUCCUCGCGUGCUCGCUCUCUGUAUGGAGGGUUUAUAAUUUUUCAGUCACGUUUAUGUCUCAUGCAUGGAACUGGUUUGAAGAGAGAGAACGCUGCAUGGUGGUGGUGUUAGACCUGGAGCGGCUCUGCAGCUGUGAAGCGGCUCUCAGUCGGACACCGGCGAGCUGCGCGCGCUCACUCUGACAUCCAAUGAAGGAAUGAUGAUAUCCGCGCGCGAGACUGGAGAGCUUCUGGCAAUGCGCUGUAACCCCGCGCGGCCACGGCGCCACGGGAACGCGCGCGGGCUUCGGCUUCUUAUAACAGCUGGUGUAAAACAUGAUAAAGAACAGACAUCCUCUUCUACAGGAUAAAAAGGGGCCAUUCUUCAACCUCGACACGUAGCUUCAUGCUAGAAAAACUUGAGGCGAUCACUUUAAGAAGGUCCAAGUGCAUGGUUGAGCACCUUAACAUACUCGAAGAAAAAGGCUAAGUGCUCAGCUCUUCCACAUGACCAAGUUGCCCCACGAGUGGUUGGUAUAUCGGCUAGUAGCAGGAAAGAAAGUGACUCGGCCAUCCUUUUUCUCCAUCAAGAACAUGGAUGUAUGUGUUGUAGAGGACCUUCACCCUCACACCGGUACAUGUAGAGCAGAGAGUACUUUUUGAGGACCCAUUUACUGCUCUUACAGAUCACACAGUUAUGGCAGCUGUAGAAACUUUAGGACACCUGGUGGAGAAGAAUUAUGUUUCUGAAUGCAAUUAGCAACAAACCUUCAAGAAAAAAAUAACUAGUGAAGUUGAUAGUUUGAGCGAGAAUCGCUCCAUUAAAGCUAUUCACUAUUUCUUUAAUGCAAAUGAAUUUACCGUGUUACCUGUAACUGGUUUGAUUAUAUUGCAACUCUUACCAUAGAAAUGAAUACAACACCUUCAUAAGCUUUCUGGAUCUCAGCUUUUUUUCUGCUCUUAAAAAAAAGGUUUUCUGAUGUCUCAUACUGGGUGAAUUGAAGUAAUAUAAAAAUAAAUACACAACUUUUUGCUUAUGACAUAUAUUAACAUUUGAGAAAUAUUAAAUGUAACCACAUUUCUCUGGA